GAUGAACGCUGGCGGCGUGCCUAAUACAUGCAAGUCGAGCGAACGGACGAGAAGCUUGCUUUUCUGAUGUUAGCGGCGGACGGGUGAGUAACACGUGGAUAACCUACCUAUAAGACUGGGAUAACUUCGGGAAACCGGAGCUAAUACCGGAUAAUAUUUUGAACCGCAUGGUUCAAAAGUGAAAGACGGUCUUGCUGUCACUUAUAGAUGGAUCCGCGCUGCAUUAGCUAGUUGGUAAGGUAACGGCUUACCAAGGCAACGAUGCAUAGCCGACCUGAGAGGGUGAUCGGCCACACUGGAACUGAGACACGGUCCAGACUCCUACGGGAGGCAGCAGUAGGGAAUCUUCCGCAAUGGGCGAAAGCCUGACGGAGCAACGCCGCGUGAGUGAUGAAGGUCUUCGGAUCGUAAAACUCUGUUAUUAGGGAAGAACAUAUGUGUAAGUAACUGUGCACAUCUUGACGGUACCUAAUCAGAAAGCCACGGCUAACUACGUGCCAGCAGCCGCGGUAAUACGUAGGUGGCAAGCGUUAUCCGGAAUUAUUGGGCGUAAAGCGCGCGUAGGCGGUUUUUUAAGUCUGAUGUGAAAGCCCACGGCUCAACCGUGGAGGGUCAUUGGAAACUGGAAAACUUGAGUGCAGAAGAGGAAAGUGGAAUUCCAUGUGUAGCGGUGAAAUGCGCAGAGAUGUGGAGGAACACCAGUGGCGAAGGCGACUUUCUGGUCUGUAACUGACGCUGAUGUGCGAAAGCGUGGGGAUCAAACAGGAUUAGAUACCCUGGUAGUCCACGCCGUAAACGAUGAGUGCUAAGUGUUAGGGGGUUUCCGCCCCUUAGUGCUGCAGCUAACGCAUUAAGCACUCCGCCUGGGGAGUACGACCGCAAGGUUGAAACUCAAAGGAAUUGACGGGGGCCCGCACAAGCGGUGGAGCAUGUGGUUUAAUUCGAAGCAACGCGAAGAACCUUACCAAAUCUUGACAUCCUUUGACAACUCUAGAGAUAGAGCCUUCCCCUUCGGGGGACAAAGUGACAGGUGGUGCAUGGUUGUCGUCAGCUCGUGUCGUGAGAUGUUGGGUUAAGUCCCGCAACGAGCGCAACCCUUAAGCUUAGUAGCCAUCAUUAAGUUGGGCACUCUAAGUUGACUGCCGGUGACAAACCGGAGGAAGGUGGGGAUGACGUCAAAUCAUCAUGCCCCUUAUGAUUUGGGCUACACACGUGCUACAAUGGACAAUACAAAGGGCAGCGAAACCGCGAGGUCAAGCAAAUCCCAUAAAGUCGUUCUCAGUUCGGAUUGUAGUCUGCAACUCGACUACAUGAAGCUGGAAUCGCUAGUAAUCGUAGAUCAGCAUGCUACGGUGAAUACGUUCCCGGGUCU
rnacentral:rRNA from 1 species